rnacentral:rRNA from 1 species
CCCGCUGAACUUAAGCAUAUUACUAAGCGGAGGAAAAGAAACCAACGGGGAUUCCCAUAGUAACUGCGAGUGAAAGGGGAAAAGCCCAGCGCCGAAUCAGCUUGCUGGAGACGGUGAGCUGAACUGUGGCGUGAAGAAGGUGUCUAUCGGUGUGGCUGGCUUGCGUAAGUUCUCCUGAGUGAGGCUCCAUCCCAUGGAGGGUGCAAGGCCCGUGUCGUGAGCAGCCGUCGCCGAUGCGCGCUUUCAGAGAGUCGCCUUGUUUGCGAGUACAAGGUGAAGUCGGUGGUAAACUCCAUCGAAGGCUAAAUAUGACCACGAGUCCGAUAGCGAACAAGUACCGUGAGGGAAAAUUGAAAAGCACUUUGAAGAGAGAGCGAAACAGUGCGUGAAACCGCUCAGAGGUAAGCAGAUGGGGCCUCGAAGGCAGAGCAUCGAAUUCAGCCGGUGGUCCGUGCGGCUGGCUGGUCAUGAGAUUGCAAAACUCGGAUCAGUCAGUGGUUGUGUGCGGCUGCUGGUGCACUUUCGGUGCUUGUACGCCACCGCCGUUGAGAAGCGUCCGUCGGGCUGGCGUGUGGAGCCUGGCUCUUUCACGAGAGUCGGUGCUCACUGCUGGUCUGUACGCGUUCGCGUCUCAACCGGUCAUGUCAGCGUGUGCCAGCGUUUGCGUUGGGUCGGUGUGCUUUGGUCGGCGGCACGGAGAUGACGAGCUUGCUCGGCUCUCCUGUCGUUGCUAGACUCGUGCUGGCUUUCAACGUGGCACAUUGUAGAUUCGGUGGCGAGUAGACGGCUGCCCAUAUAACCCGUCUUGAAACAC